UACGUGAGGGGCGAACGUUGUUCGGUGUCACUGGGCAUAAAGGGUGCGUAGGUGGUUUGUUAAGUCAGGGGUGAAAUCCCGCGGCCCAACCGUGGAACUGCCUUUGAUACUGGCGAACUUGAGUGCGUGAGGGGUAGGGGGAACGAGCAGUGUAGCGGUGAAAUGCGUAGAUAUUGCUCGGAAGGCCAGAGCCGAAGGGGCCCUACUGGUGCGUAACUGACACUGAGGCACGAAAGCGUGGGGAGCAAACAGG
rnacentral:rRNA from 1 species